CCUCCAAGCCCGGAAGUGAAUGAGAGAAGGCGCGAAGCAUUCUGGGAAGACUUACGGGAGUGGGGUUGGUUGGGUCGCCGCCUGUUACCAGGGCAACCGGAGGCAGUUGACGGUUAUCAGCAGCUUGGCGCCGUUAGCCUGAGCUGAGACGCUCAGAAGUCAUUUGGGAUGAGCGAAAGGGGAAGGAGGGCCUUCUUAAGAGAAAACUGUCCUACCAGGUAUCCAGUCGUGGCGGCGGGAGCGCCUGCCCUAGGGAAUCUGGGUUACGCCCUCCAGUUCUUUGAGCCUUUCGGUGAAAUGAAAUGGCCCAGGGGCUCGUGACUGUCAUUUCUUAACUUUCCUUCCUCUCUUAGAAAAUUGAGUUGAAGAAACAGAGAGGAAGUGGACGCAGCAUGUGAAGACAAUUCUUUCAAGAAGUUUGGCUGUAAAGGGAAAGAGAAAGGUGCUGAAGACCAUAUAAGCAUGGAGAGGACAGGCCACCUUUGCUACCACAUGGAGUCUUGCCUAAAACUGAAACUGAAAAAGCCAACCUGGGAGACAGAAACCAAGUCCUGGUGACAUUAUUUGAGCCCAGAGAUCCAGACAUGCCUAAAGAGAAGCUUUACCACUGAACUUUUUAGUUAAAUGAGUCAAUAAACUCUCUUUUAUGCUUAAA